AGGACAAACGCUGGCGGCGUGCAUAACACAUGCAAGUCGAACGAGCCUAGCGAUAGGCGAGUGGCGGACGGGUGAGGAACACGUGGAUGACCGACCUUUUACUGGGGAAUACCCGUGGGAAACCACGGCUAAUACCGCAUACGUUCGAGAGAAGAAAGCCUUCGGGCGGUAAGAGACGGGUCUGCGGUCGAUUAGCUAGUUGGUGCGGUAACGGCGUACCAAGGCGACGAUCGAUAGCUGGUCUGAGAGGAUGAUCAGCCACAUUGGGAUUGAGAACGGCCCAAAUCCCUACGGGGAGCAGCAGUGAGGAAUAUUCGGCAAUGGGCGCAAGCCUGACCGAGCGACGCCGCGUGGGGGAUGACGCAUUUCGGUGUGUAAACCCUUUCUGUGGACGAGAAUGGACGGUACCACAGGAUAAGUCUCGGCUAACUACGUGCCAGCAGCCGC
rnacentral:rRNA from 1 species